rnacentral:rRNA from 1 species
UACAGAGGUCUCAAGCGUUGUUCGGAAUCACUGGGCGUAAAGGGUGCGUAGGUGGCGUGGUAAGUCAGAUGUGAAAGCCCGGGGCUCAACCCCGGAAUUGCAUCCGAUACUACCAUGCUAGAGUACUGAAGAGGUGACUAGAAUUCUCGGUGUAGCAGUGAAAUGCGUAGAUAUCGAGAGGAAUACCAAAGGCGAAGGCAGGUCACUGGGCAGUUACUGACGCUGAGGUGCGAAAGCGUGGGGAGCAAACAGG